GCCAUGCUAGCUUCGAGCUGCGGGUCGGGGUACUUCUCUGGGCCUGCAGGUUAAGGAAGAGCACAAAGGGGACCAAAGCUGUAGGCGGGUCGAACUUGGGCCAGAGGCCUUUUUGGAUUUAAAGGACCGGAAGAGGGAUAGAGAGGAUUAUAAGGGUGAGACCGACUGAUUAUUUAGGCUGGUUCAGGGAUCUACACUUGGGCAGGCUUGGAAAUUCAGUUUUAUUAAAGAACACGCACUGAUUUGGGCCAUUUCAUGAAUCUUCUGGAUGUUGUCCAUUUGCCUUUCAGACAGUCUCCACCCCUCCUCACCCUGUUCUGCGCUCCCACAGGCUGGCAGCAUGAACCCCAUCCACAGAAUCCUCCACGUUCUGGCGUCGGGUUGACUUUGACCAAUCGGAGGCUCUGGCAGGAGAUCACAGUGUAGCAAAGAAAGGCAGUCAGGGAGGCUCUUCCCCCGGUGUUCCACCUUCCAGAUUUUCCACACCUCGUAAAUCGCCGCUUUAUCAAACUCUCCUUAAAAUAUCUCAUCUCAUGUGCCGACUCAGAACACUUGUGAUAUUCAAUCAACCUGACAUUCAAUCAACAUCCAUCAACUGACAGCAUGGAAAUUAAGAUGAGGAUAACUGUCCCUAAGGUAGCAUCACCAAGGGCAAGACCAUGACACGGUCUUCAGCCAGGUUCUAUCACCUCAGAAGUCAGCUCUUUUCCACGUUCAUGUGGUCAAUCGGUGGUGUUGAAAUGGAGACAGAGGUCAGGAACUUGGGAGAACAUCUCAUCUGCCUUCGAUGAGAAUCAGGCUUCAUCUGAGAUGGGAACAGAUCCUUAUCCUGCAUCCUGCCAUGUCUGAGUGACAGCUUGUCAACUUCCCUAACUUCAUUCGUUAAAAUUAUUUAAGUGCUGGCUGGAGGAUCUUGUCCUUCUGGAUCUUAGUUUUCUCAUAUAGGCAAAAUGGGGAGCUUGGACUAGCUUAGAAGUCUCCAGACCUUCCUGCUAUAGAGAUCAUAGGGAGAGGGCCAAGAGGAAAUCCCAAGGAUAGAGAGUUAAGGAAGUGCAACCUCCAGUAUUGUUAUCAGAGUUAGGUUCUUGAACCCGAGCCAAGGCCAGACCCCACAAUCAAAGACACAGAGGUUACAGAUGAAGCUGAAGGGAGAUACAGCAACACCAAAAAGUACUUAGCCGGUGUCCCUGUAGAGUGGGGAGACCCUGCUUAUAUAACGUUCCCGCUCUGGUUCCGCUCAGGUCCAAUUUGCUAAUGAGGGAAAGAAAAGAAGUGCUUCAUCCUGGUUAGUUGGAAAAAGCCUUGUCCUGAUUGGUUGAUAUUGGCAACUCAGGCAGCUCAUUGGUGCUCUUUAGAGUGGGGGGUCUUCUGCUUUAAGUCCCGCUUGGAGAGGGGACGCAUCCUGGUCUUGCUCUGUGAAGAGAAGCAGUUUAACCCCAGCAGCCUUCAGAAAGCACCCCAGGUGUGCAGUCUUUUUCUUUUGGGGUUUGUUCCCACCGACCCUCACUGUCCCAGUAUUCCACGUGCUUUCUAGCUCUCUCUAGCCAUUGGGAUUGCCUCUGUACAGCUGGAGAACCGUACCUGCAGGACUGCUAACAUGACUUUCGGGGCCCUGUGCAAAAUGAAAAUGCGGGUCUCCUUCUUCAAACUAACAAGAAUUUCAAAACAGCAAAGAUAGAGCAUUAAACCAAGUGCGGAAUCCUUCUAAGUGUGGGACCCUGUGUGACUGUAUGGGUCCUACGUCCAUGAAACCAGCCCUGAAUACAUAACACCCUGUAUCAAAUGGACAAACAUAAAACCAUAGAUUUGGGGCUUUUUGUGUAGUUAAUUUCAAAACUUUCAUUUGGCUACAAUAGAGGCUACUUCAAUCAAAAAAUCAAUUUGAAGCUUCACUGAUCAUCUAUAUUCUAAAAAACUUUGUAAUUCUCUAAGUAAACAAUAGAAGAAACAAAUAAAUGCCCGACAAAUUUCUCUGAAUUCCCUAAAAUUGGAGUGAUUGUGGGUUUGGUUUAUUACGACAAUCUGGUUCCAAAGAGGCCUGCCAAUUAAAGGGAUUUGCCUGCAUUGUUUAAACACACAUUUUAUCUCCGUUUGUCUUUGUUCAGAAUCAAAUGCAUCCGUUUAUCCUCUCUUCUGGGAUUGGUGUCAAUGAACCAUUUUUCUUUUAGUCUUCAGUCAGCAACUACUUACCACAUCUUAAGUACUUAACCUGCCCCGCACUGUGCUAAGUAUUUUAAGUACCGGGCGCCAGUCCACAGCUGAGGAUGACUGGUGGGGUGGGGUGAAGAGUCAACUAAAGGAAGGGAAUAUCAGGAGCCAAGACGUGAAGAUCAAUACCUUAGCUUGGUCACCCGUGACCUUGGCAAACCGUUGACUGCAGGGCUUUGGGGCAGCCUGAGCUGUUGGUCCUGUGCCUAGAUGCUUCAAAGCUUUAUUUAAAAUGUCUGGAUCCCCAGGAAGCCCCCUAAACCCAAGUUACCAGGAGAUUUGGAAAAGACUGGGGUCGAUGGGCUUCAUUGUUUAUAAAAGCAAGAGUGCUGGUAAAAGAAAUAAAGCAUUGAAAGCUUGGAAUCCUGAGAAGCUCAUGUCAACAUUAACCAACUUUACUUUGCACACCAGGUAGAACAUCAAUCUGGCUGUAAAUUAAAGCAAGGUGUGUUAGAUGGGAACGUAGACACUGUACACUUGUAUAGGUGCUGUUUCCUUCCUGGCAGGAGUAAAUGUACCUGUAAGAUGAAAAAAAAAAUCUUAAGUUGGCUGGAGAAUCCAGUGUGGCUGGAGUAUAGGAGGUAUGUGGGGGAUAAUGUGGGAGGUGAAUAUAGAAAGGAAGCUUGGAGCUAAUAGUGUAGGGCCUGUGAUACCAAAGGAGUUUGUCAUUGAUCCUGCGAACCAGAAGGAGUUUUCCAGCAGAGAAGUGGUAAGAGCUGCCCUUUAAGGAAUUUGUUAGUCACACCUGGCACUAACCAGUGGUAGCAAGUAUUAUGUAAUGGUUUACACAGUAUUUAGGAAAAGUGGCUGCAAAUAAUGUACAGCAAUGCCAUUUCCCCAGAGUCUCUGCAAUACGGUAUAUUGGGUCUUUCAAUUCUCAGUGGUUCCCAAUGCGUAGGUCUCGCAUGUCAUUCAUUAAAUUCAUCCCCAAGGAUCUUUCUUAAUGCUCUUAUAAAAAAUACUUGAACAAAUUAUUUCCAGUUGUUCAUUGCUAGUAUAUAGACAUUCAAUAGAUUUUUUAAAUGUUGAAAUUAUAUCCUGUGACCUUGCUAAGUUCACUUAUUUCUAUUAAGUUUGGGGUUUUUUGGGGUAGAUUUUUAGAAUCAUUUUCCAUGUACACUAUCCCGUUGUCUAUGAAAAAGUACUUUUAUGUCUUCCUUUAUAAUCUGUAAGUCUUCCAUUUCUGUUUAACUUUUCUUGUCCACACCUUUUUCAUGGCUAAUACUAAUAGAAUUGUAAGAACAGCCAUCCUUGCUAGUUUCCAGUCAGGAGGAAGCCUUCAGUCCUUUACCAUUAAGUAUGAUGUUAGCCAUGGCUUUUUAUAGAUGCCCAUCAUCAGAUUGAAGAUGUUCCCUUCUUCUUCUAGUUUCCUGAGAGUUUUAGUUGGAUUUUGUCAAUUUUUUCUGCUGCAUCUAUUGAGCUAAUCUUAUGAUUUUCUCCUUUAUUCUUCUAAUGUGGUAAACUACCUUUAUUUCUAUUAUUGAACCAACUUUGCAUUCCUAUAGACAACAUAGUUAGUCAUGAUGUAUAAUCCUUCUGUAUUGCUGGAUUCAGUGUGCUAACGUUUUAUUCCAUGUUUUUUUUUUCUCUUAUGUCUAUGAAGGUUACUUAUUUGUCAUUUCUUUUCGUUGUAAUGUCUUUUUCUUAUUUUGAUAUCAGAGCACUUCUGGGCUCAAAAUGAAAUGGAAAGUGUACAAAAUGCCUAUUAUUUCUUGUUUAAAUGUUUAGAUCACUUGAUGUUGUCUUAUAAUGGAAUACAAAGGCUCUGUUUGGUUUAUUUUUUUUUUUUUCACUCUUUUUUUCUGUUUGUGACCCCCCACCUUCAGCCUCUGCUUCCUGUAUCUUGCCUUUUUCCUUCUUAUGCUACAGUUUGGAAAUAACUCCCAUGCAGAAAGCUGUAGAUAGGGAGCCCACCUAAUGUAUUUUUCAUCUUUAAAGGAUCACAUCCCUCCUAUUUCUGUUGUCUAAAGCCUGAAAAAUGUUGCUUCAUGUAUUUUAUUCAGUUUUAUCAUUGUUUACAAUAUAAAAAUGAAGUUGAUAUCUGUACCGCAUCAUGGUCAAAACCACAGGUCCACUAUUACUGUGUUUUUUAAAGCUUGCCAUUUACUGAGCAUUUGUGUGGGAGGAUAAGCAUUUUACAUGCACUUUCUCAUGUAACCAUCACACAGCUCUCUGUGGCAUAUAUUAUAGUGUUAUAGAUGGCUAAAUGAGACUUGAAGAGAUUAAGCCAGUUUUCUAAGGUCAUAGGCUUUUUAGGUGGUAUAUUCAAAAUUUGAAUUUAUCUCUACAAGAUUAAAAACCCAAGCUCUUAACUAUUAUGUAAUUGUGUCAUCUUAUAAAGAUAAAAUUGAUUUACAUUUGAAAACCACUAAGACCCAUGAUUGAUUGAAUCAGACAUGAGAAUCAGACAUGAUUCAAUAAAUCAGUAAAGCAGACCUAUUUAAAUUUCUAGUAAAGCAUAUUUCUAGAGCUGUGGAGUAGUUGGCGAGUCAUUUGCCUGUUUGAUUUCACCCAAUUUCCCAUUUUUUCUCUUUGCUGUUCACUAUU